ensembl:lncRNA
GUUAAGUUAUCCAAUUAUUUAAAUUAAUUAUUAUUAUAUUCAGUCAACAUUCUUAUACUGCAUGCAUGUUGAAUGUGAUUUAUGUUCCAUGUUAAGGAUGCAAGUAAGAUGGCACCAACAACAGCAGCAGAAAGGCAAAGGAAGUAUCGUGAACGCCUUAAAGCUGAUCCUGAAAGAAGGGAGAGAAACCUGCAGACUGAGCGUGAGAGAUGGAGAAAGAAUGUAGAGGCAGGGAAGAAGAAAGCAAUUAAUGAACUGAGUAAAAGAGAACAGCGUAAGAAAAGAAAAAUGUGGAGAACAGCUUACCAUAGGAGCAAGGAGAGGAAAGAAGUGCUCAAGAACUUGAGCACUCCUCCACAGAGUCCUGAUCAGGGAGAUCACCCAGAGCAGCCUUCACAGCCAAGAUCUUCAAGGCAACGUCUGGUGGCUCGGAAAAAGUACAGAACAGAAAAAAAUAAGCUCAAGAGGCAAAUAGCGGAACUCCAGGAAAAACUUGAAAAAGAAAGAAAAAGCAAAGAAAAAUACAAAAAAAGGUGCCAACGUUCAAAGAACUUUUCGGAUUCCCCACAGUCAAAAAUAACACGACUCGCUUCACAUUGCCCCGUUAACCCCCAAAUAAAAAAAACCUUACUUUUCCAUGAAUCACUCAUUGAAGAUAUUAGGAAUAAAUACAAAAAUGCCACCAAGGACAGAGAAAGGCAGCUGAUUGCCAAAGUCGCGACAGGGAGAAUUAUAAAAAAAUACAGGUUGCAAAAGUUUGCAAGUGACUCCCUCGGAUUUUCAAACAAGAAUUUUAGACAUCAUGACAGUCUUCAUUUUGAAAGAAAGAGGACCAGCAGGUUUACUGAAGACUUCAAAAAAAGAAUCAAGGCAUUCUAUCUCAUGGAUGACGUGAGUAGAAUUACCACAGGAACCAAACAAACACUCACAAAGGACAAAUUAAAAAUGCAGAAGAGGUUCCUGAUGGACACAAUGGAAAAUAUCCACAGAAGAUUUUUGGCAGAAAACCCAGACCAGAUGAUAUCCUAUUCCCUUUUCUGUCAUCUUCGCCCCUUUUGGGUUGUGAAUCCAACACUCUCUGAACGUGACACAUGCAUGUGUAAGUUGCAUGAAAAUCUCAGCUUUCUGGCAGUGAAGCUCCGUCAGUUGAAACUCAUUGAGACUGCCAACAUUGAAGAGUUGAUAGAGAAGGUUUGCUGCAACUCAUCCAGCAAGAGUUGCAUGUAUGGAGAGUGUGUCCAUUGCAAGGACAAAACUGUCCACAUCACAAGUGCAUACAACAGCACCGCAACCACAUCAUUUACCCAGUGGGUGAUAGAGGAAAAGGAGAUAGACAAAAAGGGAGAAAAGGCAACUGUCAAAGUGACAGUCAAGAAAUCUGUGGAGGGCACACAAGAGGACCUCAUUGAGCUCUUCCAGAGCUUUGUAAAGAAAUUUAAAAUGCAUCACUUUAAUAUCAAGCAGCAGUAUGCCUUCUGCCGUGAGCUGAAGAACAACAUGUCAGGGGAGGAGGCUUUGAUACAUGUUGACUUCUCAGAAAACUACAGUUGUAAAUACAGUUCUCAAGUUCAGGCGGUCCACUUUGGGGCUUCACAUCAGCAGGCCACCCUUCAUACUGGUGUGUUGUAUGUUGGUGGACUCUCAGAGCCUGUGUGCUUUAGCACCAUCUCCCCGAGUAGACAUAAAGGCCCUCCAGCAUUAUGGCAGCACCUAAAUCCUGUGCUAGAUUACCUUCAAGGCCAACAUCCACAAGUGUCUGUGCUGCACUUUUUAAGCGACGGACCCUGUACGCAAUACAAACAACGAGGAAACUUCUACCUUUUCACUACAGAACUGGACAGAAGAGGAUUCAAGGCUGGUUCUUGGAAUUUUUUUGAGGCUAGUCAUGGAAAAGGAGCACCAGAUGGUGUCGGGGGAGCCUUAAAAAGAGCAGCUGACAUGAUGGUAGCAAAGGGGCAUGACAUCCCAGAUGCAGAAGAGUUAUUCAGGGCCUUGUCUGAAACAAACACAAGUGUGAAACUGUUCUUUGUGAAACGUGAAGAUGUUGAGGAAGCUAUGAAGAAAAUGCCAAAGCAGAUACCAGCUGUUCCUGGAACCAUGAGACUUCACCAGGUCAUUACUGUAGCUCCAGGAGAACGGAUGGUUCGUGAUGUAAGCUGCAUGUGCACAACAAGGAAGCUGUUUAACUGCAAGUGCUUUAACACCCAGUGUUUCACUUUUGGCCAGACGAUAGAAACGUCUGUAUCACAGACAGGCAGUGGGGGGAAUCCAGAAAAAGAAAUCCAGUGGGAAAGUCCAGAGCUGAUUGGUAAAUGGUGUAUUCUCAGAUAUGAUGAUGAUUUGUAUCCAGGCAUCAUUCUAAACAUACAAACAACACAAGUCCAGGUCAAAUGCAUGCAUCGUGUUGGGUCAAACCGAUUCUUCUGGCCGCAUCAGGAUGAUAUCCUCUGGUACCUGUUUGAUGAUGUCCUUGAACUCAUUCCACCCCCACAGGCUGUGACAAGACGCCAUGUGGAAGUUUUGAAAGAGGUGUGGAACCGACUCACAAGAUGA